GACGAACGCUGGCGGCGUGCUUAACACAUGCGAGUCGAACGGAAAGGCCCUGCUUUUGUGGGGUGCUCGAGUGGCGAAAGGGUGAGUAACACGUGAGUAACCUGCCCUUGACUUUGGGAUAACUUCAGGAAACUGGGGCUAAUACCGGAUAGGAGCUCCUGCUGCAUGGUGGGGGUUGGAAAGCUUCGGCGGUUGGGGAUGGACUCGCGGCUUAUCAGCUUGUUGGUGGGGUAGUGGCUUACCAAGGCUUUGACGGGUAGCCGGCCUGAGAGGGUGACCGGCCACAUUGGGACUGAGAUACGGCCCAGACUCCUACGGGAGGCAGCAGUGGGGAAUAUUGCACAAUGGGCGGAAGCCUGAUGCAGCAACGCCGCGUGCGGGAUGACGGCCUUCGGGUUGUAAACCGCUUUCGCCUGUGACGAAGCGUGAGUGACGGUAAUGGGUAAAGAAGCACCGGCUAACUACGUG
rnacentral:rRNA from 1 species